rnacentral:rRNA from 1 species
UACACGAAAGUGUGACGGGGUUACCCAAAGUGUUCAAUUUUGAACUGUGGUAGGUGAGUAAUGUUCCCUACUAGAAAGGAGAGGGCAAGGCUGGUGCCAGCCGCCGCGGUAAAACCAGCUCUUCAAGUGGUCGGGAUAAUUAUUGGGCUUAAAGUGUCCGUAGCCGGUUUAGUAAGUUCCUGGUAAAAUCGGGUAGCUUAACUAUCUAUAUGCUAGGAAUACUACUAUACUAGAGGGCGGGAGAGGUUUGAGGUACUACAGGGGUAGGGGUGAAAUCUUAUAAUCCUUGUUGGACCACCAGUGGCGAAGGCGUCAGACUGGAACGCGCCUGACGGUGAGGGACGAAAGCCAGGGGAGCGAACCGGAUUAGAUACCCGGGUAGUCCUGGCCGUAAACGAUGCAUACUAGGUGAUGGCACGGCCAUGAGCCGUGUCAGUGCCGUAGGGGAACCGUUAAGUGUGCCGCCUGGAAGUACGGUCGCAAGG